rnacentral:lncRNA from 1 species
AGCUUGCUUGAAAUUUGGCUUAGAAAUUGUGGAACUGGCCUUUCUCUCUCAAUUCUCAGGUUUAACAACUCUUGCUUAUGUUAUUAAUUUACAAAACAGGGGCCAAAGUAAACUUCUGGACAGCCAGGCUCAGACAGGUCUGGAGAAAUGUGCCCCCCCCCCAAUACAGUUACCACACUGCCCCGGUGGCGGUGGCAGAGACUACUCAUAGCACCUUCUCCUGGGAGUGGGGAGCAGGGAGCACCAACAAGGAGAGAGAGCCAGCCCUCACCAAGGAAAAGUGUCUGGCAAUGACCACAUCUCAGGCUUAGCGAUCAGUCCCAACAGGACCUGCCAUUGCCCAAUCCCAGAUUCCCCGGAGAAGAAAAUAGAAGAACAAGUAAUGCAGAGACAUGUGUUGCCUGUGGCCUGGAAGGCAGACUCCAGGAGCAG